rnacentral:tRNA from 1 species
AGCCUUGUAGUAAAGAUUACAUUGGAUUGCAAAUCCAAAGACGGAGGUUAGUUCCUUCCGGGGCUU